rnacentral:rRNA from 1 species
AUUGAACGCUGGCGGCAGGCCUAACACAUGCAAGUCGAGCGGAUGAAGGGAGCUUGCUCCUGGAUUCAGCGGCGGACGGGUGAGUAAUGCCUAGGAAUCUGCCUGGUAGUGGGGGAUAACGUCCGGAAACGGGCGCUAAUACCGCAUACGUCCUGAGGGAGAAAGUGGGGGAUCUUCGGACCUCACGCUAUCAGAUGAGCCUAGGUCGGAUUAGCUAGUUGGUGGGGUAAAGGCCUACCAAGGCGACGAUCCGUAACUGGUCUGAGAGGAUGAUCAGUCACACUGGAACUGAGACACGGUCCAGACUCCUACGGGAGGCAGCAGUGGGGAAUAUUGGACAAUGAGCGAAAGCCUGAUCCAGCCAUGCCGCGUGUGUGAAGAAGGUCUUCGGAUUGUAAAGCACUUUAGGUUGGGAGGAAGGGCAGUAAGUUAAUACCUUGCUGUUUUGACGGUACCAACAGAAUAAGCACCGGCUAACUUCGUG